rnacentral:misc_RNA from 1 species
GAUGAAGAACGUAGCGAAAUGCGAUAAGUAAUGUGAAUUGCAGAAUUCAGUGAACCAUCGAAUCUUUGAACGCACAUUGCGCCCGCUGGAACUCCGGCGGGCACGCCUGUCCGAGCGUCAUUUCAACCCUCAGGCCCCCCUUCGCGGGCGGGCCUGGUGUUGGGGCCCGGCCGCUACCCUGCGGCCGUCCCCUAAAUCCAGUGGCGGCCUCGCCGUGAUCCCUUGCGUAGUAAUGCACCUCGCACCGGAGAGCGCCGUGGCCACGCCGUAAAACCCCCAAUUUUCAAUGGUUGACCUCGGAUCAGGUGGGAAUACCCGCUGAACUUAAGCAUAUCAAUAAGCGGAGGA